AGAAAAAUAAUAGCUUUAUAUGAGUUUGUUGAUAAAAUACAAAAUAUAAUAUGGUCGAAAAUAUGUUACAUUAUUAAUGAGAAUUUAAAAUCGUUAACUUAUAAAAUCAAUAUCGUUCAACAUGUGAGUAAAGACGUAGAUAAACCGUAUAAUAAAAAAACAAUUUACGAUCUGUUUUAUCCUGGUGGAUAUGAUUCGCUUGGACAUGAUGUAGUCGACCAUAAUGCUUGUACAAAUUUUAAUGAAACUGCGUUAUAUAUUGAUAAAAAAAAAAAAAAUAAUAAUAAUAAUAAUAAUGAUAAUGAUAAUAAUAAUAAUAAUAGUAAUAAUAAUAGUAAUAAUAAUAAUAAUAAUAUGUUACUUUUUGAUUCCAAAAAGGACCAAGUAGUAGACGCAAAUGUUAUUAUAAAUGAAAACGGUGAAAAAAAAAAGGAAACGAUACAUGAUGGUUUCAAAGAAGAAGACACGACAUAUUAUACAGUAGUAGCAGUAUCUGAAAAAGACAAAAUAGUGGAUAUACAGCAGAAGCGUUUUCAAGAAAAUAAUAGAAACGAACCAAUUCAAGACAUAAGUGGUAAUAUGCACUCUUUACAUAUGGUCGAAAAAAAAACGAAAAUGCAGAUGCAGCUACAAACACAUAAUGUUGUAAAAAAAUUUUCGGAUUUUUAUUGCUCCUUAAUCAUAUUAAACGAUUUGUGUUUUGCUUUUGAAAAACAUUAUAUAAAUAAAUAUAUACAAGAGAGUAAAGAAAGUGCUAUUAUUAAUAAGCAGAUUAAUAAUUCACAAGUACAUGAAGAAGCACCAUUAAAUGUUAAAAAAAAAAUAAACAAUAAUAAAGUAAGUAAUAAAAUAAAUAGCAAAAUAAAUGGAAAAAUAAAUGGAAAAAUAAACGGAAAAAUAAACGGAAAAAUAAACGGAAAAGUAAAUAAAAAGGACGACAGCAGUAUAUCAGCUUUAAAAGAGAGUAACGAGUAUGAACGACUCGAAAAAAAAAGCGACGACACAAAUAAAAAAGGUAUACGAAAUGUACAAACUGCCGAUACGUUUGGUCAUUCUGAAAAUAUAAGUGACGGUAAGUCUAUUAUAAACAAAGAAAAAAUACAAAACGAUCAAAAUUCAAACGUAAAAGGAAGCAAAAGCGAACAUAUUCAAUCUGACACAGAAGAAAAAAACGAAAAACAAAAUUGUUUAAAAGAAUUAAAAAAAACUACCUUAUAUAUGACCAAUGAAGAUGUUACUAAUCCAGAGGUUACCAACUGUAACGAAAAAUAUGAACAAAAUAUAGAAGACAAAAUACGAACCAAAUAUAAAAAUAUGAAUAGUUUUAUUAAAAAAAUAGAGAAUACAGUUAUACAAACUAUAACAAGUUUAAAAAAUGAAUUAUCGAAUUAUCCUGAUCAGUUAAUAUUUUUAAUUAAUAAUUAUUACUAUAUUACACAAACUUUAAAAGACAAUAAAAUAGAUGAUACCAAAAUCAUACGUUUUGAAAAAUUGCUACAAACAAUUGUAAAUUCAUACAUUAAAAAUGAACUUAAUGAGUAUAUAAAAAAUAUGAUUUUUUUUGUACAUACAUAUGAACACAAAUUUAAUAAUAUAACAAAAAGUGAUGAUAACAAAAAUGUAUUAACACAAGCUGAAACAAAACUAAUGGAAGAUGUAGCUAUUCAUUUUAAACAGCAUUGGAAGCAAAUACUUAACAACAUUAAACAGAAAGUUAUAACAUCUUUUACCAUAACU
ensembl:lncRNA